GAAUGAACGAAUGAGAGAGAGAGAGAGGGAAGAGGCCAAAACGAAGAGCUGAAAGGGGCUUUUCACCUUCCAAGCGUCCGAAACAACCCUGCAAACAAGCCAAUCUCUCUCUAAAAAAAACUCACCUCUCUCUCUCUCUCUCUCUCUCUGAAAAAUUUUAACUUAUUUUAGAGAGAGGGGGGGAGAGAGAGAGGGGGGGACGUCAUUCUUUCUCCUGUGUCCCAAAGCAAGAGGACCCUUCUCCUUCUCCCCCUCCUCAAUGGACCCAUACGCCCCUACCCCACAACCUCCAUCCUCCAUGAGGCCGAGGGCAUUCUCGUCAAUGUAGCCUCUGAACAUCGCAUUGUAGCUUAGAAAGGCAGACAGAAUGGAGCCAGGCAAUGGAAACAGCAACGGAGGAGGAAGAGUAGAGGUAAAAAUAUAACUCGAGUAUGGAAAUAUCAGGCAUAGUUACGCGUACACAAUUGAUGUUUGUAGGUGUUUUUGGCAUGUAUACAAUGCUUAGCCCCCAUUGCGGACGGUACAUUGUUAAUGGCUAGAAGCAGGGUUAGGUGUACCCUUCGCAUGUCAUAUCUUGGAAAAUUCUCUCCUCACUUGGUGCCACCUAAAAUUCUAGCAUUCUGAUCACCAUGAAUCUUUUGCCAUAUUGUUCUAAUUUUUCUUCUGCACAGUUUGGCCGUUCAAAAUUUUUUUGUUUACUUGAUUGAUAGGUCUCUAACCAGUUGUGUUAUUUGAUUCCAUUUGGAUAUAUCUACUAUUUUUCCUGCAUUAAA